rnacentral:rRNA from 1 species
UCGGGAAUUUUGCGCAAUGGACGAAAGUCUGACGCAGCAACGCCGCGUGAGGGAUGAAGGCCUUCGGGUUGUAAACCUCUUUUCUCAGGGACGAUAAUGACGGUACCUGAGGAAUAAGCCACGGCUAACUACGUGCCAGCAGCCGCGGUAAUACGUAGGUGGCGAGCGUUGUCCGGAUUUACUGGGCGUAAAGAGCGCGCAGGCGGUCGUGCAAGUCGCGUGUGAAAGCCCCCGGCUCAACUGGGGAGGGUCACGCGAUACUGUUCGACUUGAAGGCAGGAGAGGGAAGUGGAAUUCCCGGUGUAGUGGUGAAAUGCGUAGAUAUCGGGAGGAACACCAGUGGCGAAGGCGACUUCCUGGCCUGUUCUUGACGCUGAGGCGCGAAAGCUAGGGUAGCAAACGGGAUUAGAUACCCCGGUAGUCCUAGCCGUAAACGAUGGACACUAGGUGUUGGUGGUAUCAACCCCGCAGUGCCGAAGCUAACGCAUUAAGU